rnacentral:rRNA from 1 species
UACGUAGGGGGCAAGCGUUGUCCGGAUUUAUUGGGCGUAAAGAGCUCGUAGGUGGUUCGGUAAGUCGGAUGUGAAAUCUCCAGGCUCAACCUGGAGGGGUCAUUCGAUACUGCCGUGACUAGAGUUCGGUAGGGGAGUGUGGAAUUCCUGGUGUAGCGGUGAAAUGCGCAGAUAUCAGGAGGAACACCGAUAGCGAAGGCAGCUCGCUGGGACGGUACUGACGCUAAGGCGCGAAAGCGUGGGGAGCGAACAGG